GCGGUCGCAGGUGCGUCGCUCUGCUCGGGGCGUGCGGGCGUCCGCCGCGGUCUGUGCGCUGGGAUGAGCCGGGCUCCCGGUGGAAGCGAGGGAAGCCAGCCGCAGCAGCCAUGGCCAGUACAAUGGUAGCAGUUGGACUGACCAUUGCAGCUGCAGGAUUUGCAGGCCGUUAUGUUUUGCAAGCCAUGAAGCAUAUGGAGCCUCAAGUAAAACAAGUUUUUCAGAGUCUACCAAAAUCUGCCUUCAGUGGUGGCUAUUGCAGAGGUGGGUUUGAACCCAAAAUGACAAAACGGGAAGCAGCAUUAAUACUAGGUGUAAGCCCUACUGCCAAUAAAGGGAAAAUAAGAGAUGCUCACCGACGAAUUAUGCUUUUAAAUCAUCCUGACAAAGGAGGGUCUCCGUGUAUAGCAGCCAAAAUCAAUGAAGCUAAAGAUCUGCUAGAAGGUCAAGCUAAAAAAUGAAGUAAAUGUAUCAUGAAUUUUAAGUACAUAUUACUUUAUGUAUAUGAGUACUAGCUUUUUAUAAUAAAAUGCCUCAGAGUUACAGUUUUAAAAAA